rnacentral:rRNA from 1 species
CGAGGGGGGCAAGUUGUUGUUCGGAAUCACUGGGCGUAAAGGGAGCGUAGGCGGAUGUUUUAAGUCGGGAGUUUAAAACCGGGGCCCAACCCCGGAGCGGCUCCCGAAACUGGACAUCUUGAAUAGGUCAGAGGCUGGUGGAAUUUGGAGGUGUAGCGGUGGAAUGCGUAGAGAUCUCCAAGAACACCUAUUGCGAAGGCAGCCAGCUGGGACCAUAUUGACGCUGAGGCUCGAAAGCAUGGGGAGCAAACAGGAUUAGAUACCCUGGUAGUCCAUGCCGUAAACGAUGAACACUAGGUUUUGGGCUCGUCAACGGUCCAGAGCCGCAGCUAACGCGUUAAGUGUUCCGCCUGGGGAAUACGGUCGCAAGGCUG